UUCUCGAUAGGUGAAGAACUCUGGAAUGAGUCUUUGCCCAAAAGAUGCUAGAGUUAUGCUCUUUGGCAUCGCCCAAGGAUGAGGCCGCGACCGAUCAGGUUGUUGGUGAGGUAAUGGCUCACCAAGCCUUUUACCGGUGCGGGCCGUGAGAGCGGGAGCCCGGAGAUGGGCACUGAGACAAGGGCCCAGGCCCUACGGGGCGCAGCAGUCGCGAAAACUUUGCAAUACACGAAAGUGUGACAGGGCUAUCCCGAGUGCCAUCCGCUGAGGAAGGCUUUUACCCAGUCUAGAACGCUGGGGGAAUAAGGAGAGGGCAAGUCUGGUGUCAGCCGCCGCGGUAAUACCAGCUCUCCGAGUGGUGUGGAUGUUUAUUGGGCCUAAAGCAUCCGUAGCUGGCUAAGUUAGUCCCUCGUUAAAUCCACCGAAUUAAUCGUUGGAUUGCGGGGGAUACUGCUUGGCUAGGGGACGAGAGAGGCAGACGGUAUUUCCGGGGUAGGGGUGAAAUCCUAUAAUCCCGGGAAGACCACCAGUGGCGAAGGCUGUCUGCUAGAACGCGCCCGACGGUGAGGGAUGAAAGCUGGGGGAGCGAACCGGAUUAGAUACCCGGGUAGUCCCAGCUGUAAACGAUGCAGGCUAGGUGUUUGGACGGCCACGUGCCGUUCUAGUGCCGCAGGGAAGCUGUU
rnacentral:rRNA from 1 species